rnacentral:rRNA from 1 species
UACGGGGGGGGCAAGCGUUGUUCGGAAUUACUGGGCGUAAAGCGUGCGCAGGCGGUUCGUUGUGUCGGUGGUGAAAUCCCCGGGCUUAACCUGGGAAUGGCCAUGGAAACUGGCGAACUGGAGUGCGGCAGAGGGGGGUGGAAUUCCGCGUGUAGCAGUGAAAUGCGUAGAGAUGCGGAGGAACACCGAUGGCGAAGGCAGCCCCCUGGGCUAGCACUGACGCUCAGGCACGAAAGCGUGGGGAGCAAACAGG